GGAGAGGUGGCCGAGUGGUUUAAGGCGCACGCCUGGAAAGCGUGUGGACGUCGAAAGGCGUCUCGAGAGUUCGAAUCUCUCCCUCUCCGCCA
rnacentral:tRNA from 1 species